rnacentral:rRNA from 1 species
GAGAGAACACAGGGAUUGCCCCAGUAACGGCGAGUGAAGCGGCAACAGCUCAAAUUUGAAAUCUGGCUCUCGGGCCCGAGUUGUAAUUUGUAGAGGAUGCUUUUGGUGAGGUGCCUUCCGAGUUCCCUGGAACGGGACGCCAUAGAGGGUGAGAGCCCCGUCUGGUUGGACACCGAUCCUCUGUAAAGCUCCUUCGACGAGUCGAGUAGUUUGGGAAUGCUGCUCUAAAUGGGAGGUAUAUGUCUUCUAAAGCUAAAUACCGGCCAGAGACCGAUAGCGCACAAGUAGAGUGAUCGAAAGAUGAAAAGAACUUUGAAAAGAGAGUUAAAAAGUACGUGAAAUUGUUGAAAGGGAAGCGCUUGUGACCAGACUUGGGCUUGGUUGAUCAUCCGGGGUUCUCCCCGGUGCACUCUUCCGGCUCAGGCCAGCAUCAGUUCGCCCUGGGGGAUAAAGGCUUCGGGAAUGUGGCUCUCUCCGGGGAGUGUUAUAGCCCGCUGCGUAAUACCCUGUGGCGGACUGAGGUUCGCGCAUUCGCAAGGAUGCUGGCGUAAUGGUCAUCAGUGACCCGUCUUGAAACACGGACCAAGGAGUCGUCUUCGUAUGCGAGUGUUCGGGUGUCAAACCCCUACGCGAAAUGAAAGUGAACGCAGGUGAGAGCUUCGGCGCAUCAUCGACCGAUCCUGAUGUUAUCGGAUGGAUUUGAGUAAGAGCAUACGGGGCCGGACCCGAAAGAAUGUGAACUAUGCCUGUGUAGGGUGAAGCCAGAGGAAACUCUGGUGGAGGCUCGCAGCGGUUCUGACGUGCAAAUCGAUCGUCAAACAUGGGCAUGGGGGCGAAAGACUAAUCGAACCUUCUAGUAGCUGGUUUCCCCGAUCU